rnacentral:rRNA from 1 species
UCGGGAAUUUUGGGCAAUGGGCGAAAGCCUGACCCAGCAACGCCGCGUGAGGGAUGAAGUAUUUCGGUAUGUAAACCUCGAAAGAAUGGGAAGAAUAAAUGACGGUACCAUUUAUAAGCUCCGGCUAACUACGUGCCAGCAGCCGCGGUAAUACGUAGGUGGCAAGCGUUGUCCGGAUUUACUGGGCGUAAAGGGAGCGUAGGCGGACUUUUAAGUGAGAUGUGAAAUACCCGGGCUCAACCUGGGUGCUGCAUUUCAAACUGGAAGUCUAGAGUGCAGGAGAGGAGAGUGGAAUUCCUAGUGUAGCGGUGAAAUGCGUAGAGAUUAGGAAGAACACCAGUGGCGAAGGCGACUCUCUGAACUGUAACUGACGCUGAGGCUCGAAAGCGUGGGGAGCAAACA